rnacentral:rRNA from 1 species
UACGGAGGGGGCUAGCGUUGUUCGGAAUUACUGGGCGUAAAGCGCACGUAGGCGGCGAUCUAAGUCAGAGGUGAAAGCCCGGGGCUCAACCCCCGGAAUAGCCUUUGAGACUGGAUUGCUAGAAUCUUGGAGAGGCGGGUGGAAUUCCGAGUGUAGAGGUGAAAUUCGUAGAUAUUCGGAAGAACACCAGUGGCGAAGGCGGCCCGCUGGACAAGUAUUGACGCUGAGGUGCGAAAGCGUGGGGAGCAAACAGG